rnacentral:lncRNA from 1 species
GGAAAGGCGAGGUGUGACGGUCAUUUCGUAAUCGUUCCCUCAUGGCAAUCCUGGAUGUCUGAGGGGGGUUUGCCUCGGUGACAGAAGCUGUUUUUCCUCCCUUCUCCAGGGGAAUCCCAGAUAGCUCUUGAUUCCAUAACCAUCACAGUACAUGCCUGCACAUUCACAAGGAAGAAGCAGAUUGCUGCAUUCUGUACCAGCUCUAGCAUCAUCUCCAAACUGCUAUAGGCAAAAAAGCU